rnacentral:rRNA from 1 species
CAAUAGCGUAUAUUAAAGUUGUUGCAGUUAAAAAGCUCGUAGUUGGAUUUCUGGUGGGAGCGAUCGGUCUGGCGCUUAGCGCGAGUACUUGCAUCGUCUCCGGCCAUCCUUGGGGAGAGUCUGUCUGGCAUUAGGUUGUCGGGCAGAGGAUCCUCAUCGUUUACUGUGAAAAAAUUAGAGUGUUCAAAGCAGGCUUAUGCCGUUGAAUAUAUUAGCAUGGAAUAAUAAGAUAGGACUUUGGUACUAUUUUGUUGGUUUGCGCACCAAAGUAAUGAAUAAUAGGGACAGUUGGGGGUAUUCGUAUUCCGUUGUCAGAGGUGAAAUUCUUGGAUUUACGGAAGACGAACUACUGCGAAAGCAUUUACCAAGGAUGUUUUCAUUAA